rnacentral:rRNA from 1 species
GACGAACGCUGGCGGCGUGCCUAAUACAUGCAAGUUGAGCGAUGAAGAUUGGUGCUUGCACCAAUUUGAAGAGCAGCGAACGGGUGAGUAACGCGUGGGGAAUCUGCCUUUGAGCGGGGGACAACAUUUGGAAACGAAUGCUAAUACCGCAUAACAACUUUAAACAUAAGUUUUAAGUUUGAAAGAUGCAAUUGCAUCACUCAAAGAUGAUCCCGCGUUGUAUUAGCUAGUUGGUGAGGUAAAGGCUCACCAAGGCGAUGAUACAUAGCCGACCUGAGAGGGUGAUCGGCCACGUUGGGACUGAGACACGGCCCAAACUCCUACGGGAGGCAGCAGUAGGGAAUCUUCGGCAAUAGACGAAAGUCUGACCGAGCAACGCCGCGUGAGUGAAGAAGGUUUUCGGAUCGUAAAACUCUGUUGGUAGAGAAGAACGUUAGUGAGAGUGGAAAGCUCAUCAAGUGACGGUAACUACCCAGAAAGGGACGGCUAACUACGUG